CCUACGGGAGGCUGCAGUGGGGAAUAUUGGACAAUGGGCGAAAGCCUGAUCCAGCCAUGCCGCGUGUGUGAAGAAGGCCUUCGGGUUGUAAAGCACUUUCAGUGGGGAAGAAAGCCUUGGGGCUAAUACCCUCGAGGAAGGACAUCACCCACAGAAGAAGCACCGGCUAACUCCGUGCCAGCAGCCGCGGUAAUACGGAGGGUGCGAGCGUUAAUCGGAAUUACUGGGCGUAAAGCGCGCGUAGGCGGUCUGAUAAGCCGGUUGUGAAAGCCCCGGGCUCAACCUGGGAACGGCAUCCGGAACUGUCAGGCUAGAGUGAAGGAGAGGAAGGUAGAAUUCCCGGUGUAGCGGUGAAAUGCGUAGAGAUCGGGAGGAAUACCAGUGGCGAAGGCGGCCUUCUGGACUGACACUGACGCUGAGGUGCGAAAGCGUGGGUAGCAAACAGGAUUAGAUACCCGAGUAGUC
rnacentral:rRNA from 1 species